rnacentral:rRNA from 1 species
AACGAACGCUGGCGGCAGGCCUAACACAUGCAAGUCGAGCGCGCCCUUCGGGGUGAGCGGCGGACGGGUGAGUAACGCGUGGGAACGUGCCCUUUGCUACGGAAUAGCCCCGGGAAACUGGGAGUAAUACCGUAUGUGCCCUUCGGGGAAAGAUUUAUCGGCAAAGGAUCGGCCCGCGUUGGAUUAGGUAGUUGGUGGGGUAAUGGCCUACCAAGCCGACGAUCCAUAGCUGGUUUGAGAGGAUGAUCAGCCACACUGGGACUGAGACACGGCCCCGACUCCUACGGGAGGCAGCAGUGGGGAAUCUUAGACAAUGGGCGCAAGCCUGAUCUAGCCAUGCCGCGUGAUCGAUGAAGGCCUUAGGGUUGUAAAGAUCUUUCGUGGGGGAAGAUAAUGACUGUACCCCAAGAAGAAGCCCCGGCUAACUCCGUGCCAGCCGCCGCAGUAAGAC